UGGGGAAUUUUGGACAAUGGGCGAAAGCCUGAUCCAGCAAUGCCGCGUGUGUGAAGAAGGCCUUCGGGUUGUAAAGCACUUUUGUCCGGAAAGAAAUCCUUGGCUCUAAUACAGUCGGGGGAUGACGGUACCGGAAGAAUAAGCACCGGCUAACUACGUGCCAGCAGCCGCGGUAAUACGUAGGGUGCAAGCGUUAAUCGGAAUUACUGGGCGUAAAGCGUGCGCAGGCGGUUUGCUAAGACCGAUGUGGAAUCCCCGGGCUCAACCUGGGAACUGCAUUGGUGACUGGCAGGCUAGAGUAUGGCAGAGGGGGGUAGAAUUCCACGUGUAGCAGUGAAAUGCGUAGAGAUGUGGAGGAAUACCGAUGGCGAAGGCAGCCCCCUGGGCCAAUACUGACGCUCAUGCACGAAAGCGUGGGGAGCAAACAGGAUUAGAUACCCUGGUAGUCCACGCCCUAAACGAUGUCAACUAGUUGUUGGGGAUUCAUUUCCUUAGUAACGUAGCUAACGCGUGAAGUUGACCGCCUGGGGGGUACGGUCGCAAGAUUAAAACUCAAAGGAAUUGACGGGGUCAUA
rnacentral:rRNA from 1 species